CGGGACAAGCCGGGAAUUCAGCUUAUUACGGAAGUUCCGUUUGUACCAGAAACUCGAUUCACUCGGCUUCCAGCUCCAGAAGUGACGAAUACUGACGUCCAAGGCAAUAGAUGGGGAGGAUCUUCUCUGGGUCUUCACGUCUUUCCCUCUGAUGGGAUCAAAUGGCUGUUGGUUGGUUUGUGGAGGAUUCACGAUUUUAGCCCGUGUCAGAGCAGUCCUUGUGUACGCGGAGGAACAUGCAAUGUAGAAAGCGAAGGAUACAGCUGUGACUGUUUGCCAUUUUAUUCUGGUCGCCACUGUGAGGGUAAGUUUAAAACCAGACAUUUUAGCUUGAACCGAGUCAAAGUUGCACCAGGGAGGGCAAGGGGGAAAAGGGAAAGGAAAGGGGCGGCGGGCGGGGGAGGAGAGCUUUUCGGCGUUUAACCAAACCCAAAAAUUAAGAACAUAUAAGAACACACCCUAAGCCUAGAGUCAAAAGAGGUAGCUUAUUUUGUGAUA